AUUUUAGAAAGUCCCAUGUGAACAUAAUAAGAGUUUGCUUAACAUUUAGUUUUACAAACGACUUCAACGUAUGAGCGUAUGUUAUGUGUGUGUGGUGGCCAAUCGGAAAAACAUUAUAUUUUCAAUGUGAAUAUGUGUAAACAUAAAGGCUGAAACCUAAUUUGCAUAAAAUAAAGUUUUAAAAUGUGUUUUUGUUUUGUAUUAAAUUGCUUUUGAGGCCAAGGUAGCUGUACAGUAAAUAUUCAGCCUCGAUCAGAAAACCACGUCCCACUGUCGUAACACACAGACCUGUGGCAAUGUGUAGUGAUUCGAGUAGUGUACAUCUACUCUGGUUAUCAUUUCAAAACAGUAUUUACUGAAAAAUAUGAGUGUUUAGCAUCAUGUAUUAAAUGUGUUAAAUAUGUCCUUUUUUCCCUGCAUUUAUUCUGCUGUCUAAAAUUCUUUGGGAGGAUAAAUGAAGGAGGAUGUAACAAAAUACACUGCAAGAACUGGAAUGAGAGACAAGUGAGGAUGAAGAAGACAACAGAAUAUCCAUCCUUUCUUCACCACCUCACAGAGUUUGAGUGAAACAACUUGUAUUAGGACUCACAGGAUUAUUUUAUAACAAGACUGAUUAUUUUAUACCAGAAGUAUGGUAUUUUUUUGAAGCUACUGUAUUAUUUCUUAUGACAAUUCAUUUUGAUGUGCAUUCAGAACUGUAAGUUGUGGUAGUGGAUCAUGAUCACCUCUCUAGCUUCAAAAGUAGGAUGCAAAAUGUAUAACACCAAAUCAUUAUAGCAUAACUCCAUGUAACUUGACAUAAUUUAAAGUUGUCUAAAGGCAGACAUGCUUGCGUGUGAAGUCCUAUGCCAAAGACUCUCCAAAUACUGCAUCUACACUUUCUUCCUGAUGUGUAUAUUUUGUUGGUAUAUCCUGGUUGUUGCAGACCUGACAGUAAACUUGACUGUGAGCAUCCUAUCCAUCAGGUAAAGCUGUUUACUUGCAUUACUCAUUUAGAGAAAUGACGGGUCAAAAUUGAUUAUAUGGAUUAUAUUUUCAUCACCCCUUUUUUUUAUGUCUUUGGGACACUUGAAAUAUAUAGCACGUAUAAUGUGGAUCCAUUUUAUAAUGCGGUCACAGACUACUCCCAUUGUAACUGGAAAACCAAAGAAAAUCAUUGUUUAAAUUAUAAAAUUAUAAUUUUUGGAUUAACUAA